rnacentral:rRNA from 1 species
UUUCCUACGGGGGGCAGCAGUGGGGGAUAUUGGACAAUGGGGAAACCCUGAUCCAGCGAUGCCGCGUGAGGGAAGAAGGUUUUCGGAUUGUAAACCUCUGUCCUCUGUGAAGAUGAUGACGGUAGCAGAGGAGGAAGCUCCGGCUAACUACGUGCCAGCAGCCGCGGUAAUACGUAGGGAGCGAGCGUUGUCCGGAUUUACUGGGUGUAAAGGGUGCGUAGGCGGCUUGGCAAGUCAGUAGUGAAAUCCAUGGGCUUAACCCAUGAACUGCUAUUGAAACUGUCGAGCUUGAGUGAAGUAGAGGG